rnacentral:rRNA from 1 species
UACGAAGGGUGCAAGCGUUAAUCGGAAUUACUGGGCGUAAAGCGUGCGUAGGCGGUUAUUUAAGUCUGUUGUGAAAUCCCCGGGCUCAACCUGGGAAUGGCAAUGGAUACUGGAUAGCUAGAGUGUGAUAGAGGAUGGUGGAAUUCCCGGUGUAGCGGUGAAAUGCGUAGAGAUCGGGAGGAACAUCAGUGGCGAAGGCGGCCAUCUGGAUCAACACUGACGCUGAGGCGCGAAAGCGUGGGGAGCGAACCGG